rnacentral:rRNA from 1 species
UACGGAGGGUGCAAGCGUUAUCCGGAUUCACUGGGUUUAAAGGGUGCGUAGGUGGGCAGGUAAGUCAGUGGUGAAAUCUCUGGGCUUAACCCGGAAACUGCCAUUGAUACUAUUUAUCUUGAAUGUCGUGGAGGUUAGCGGAAUAUGUCAUGUAGCGGUGAAAUGCUUAGAUAUGACAUAGAACACCCAUUGCGAAGGCAGCUAACUACGCGAUAAUUGACGCUGAUGCACGAAAGCGUGGGGAUCAAACAGG